rnacentral:rRNA from 1 species
GACGAACGCUGGCGGCGUGCUUAACACAUGCAAGUCGAACGAAGAGCGACGGAAGCUUGCUUCUAUCAAUCUUAGUGGCGAACGGGUGAGUAACGCGUAAUCAACCUGCCCUUCAGAGGGGGACAACAGUUGGAAACGACUGCUAAUACCGCAUACGAUCUAACCUCGGCAUCGAGGAUAGAUGAAAGGUGGCCUCUACAUGUAAGCUAUCACUGAAGGAGGGGAUUGCGUCUGAUUAGCUAGUUGGAGGGGUAACGGCCCACCAAGGCGAUGAUCAGUAGCCGGUCUGAGAGGAUGAACGGCCACAUUGGGACUGAGACACGGCCCAGACUCCUACGGGAGGCAGCAGUGGGGAAUCUUCCGCAAUGGACGAAAGUCUGACGGAGCAACGCCGCGUGAGUGACGACGGCCUUCGGGUUGUAAAGCUCUGUUAAUCGGGACGAAAGGCCUUCUUGCGAAUAGUGAGAAGGAUUGACGGUACCGGAAUAGAAAGCCACGGCUAACUACGUG